rnacentral:rRNA from 1 species
GUCCACGCCUAACGAUGCUGACUAGUUGUUCGGAUUUACAUCCUGAGUAACGUAGCUAACGCGUGAAGUCAGCCGCCUGGGAGUACGGUCGCAAGAUUAAACUCAAAGGAAUUGACGGGACCCGCACAAGCGGUGGAUGAUGUGGAUUAAUUCGAUGCAACGCGAAACCUUACCUACCCUUGACAUGUCACUAACGAGUAGAGAUACAUUAGGUGCCCGUAAGGGAAGUGAACACAGGUGCUGCAUGGCUGUCGU